CCGUGCGGUAGCCGGGCGGGAGGCCGCCCCCGCCCGACGGGGGCGGAGCGGACGGCGGGGCCGUGCCCCGGUCGCCCGGCUCGUCCCGCCCGUC
rnacentral:tRNA from 1 species